rnacentral:sRNA from 1 species
GUGGCAAACAUCUGAAACAAAAAUCCUGUAUUUGUCCAUAGGCAGUUACAGUAUUAUCAGCAGUGCAUGCUCCUCUGAGUUUGCCUUCAUUCAACUCUGACCAAGGAUGAGUGAGCACCAUUUUGAAUAUGAAGGCACUUCAAUUUUCAUGCUUAUUCAAUCCUGGGUCUCU